AUACGGAGGAUGCGAGCGUUAUCCGGAUUUAUUGGGUUUAAAGGGUGCGUAGGCGGUCGGGUAAGCGUAGGGUGAAAGUCCUCUGCUCAACAGAGGAAGUGCCUUCCGAACUGUCCGACUGGAAUGCUCCUGCCGUGGGAGGAAUGUGUGGUGUAGCGGUGAAAUGCAUAGAGAUCACACAGAACACCGAUUGCGAAGGCAUCUCACGAAGGGGCUAUUGACGCUGAGGCACGAAAGCGUGGGGAUCAAACAGGAUUAGAUACCCUGGUAGUCCACGCAGUAAACGAUGAUGACUAACCGUCGGUCAAGACUGAUCGGUGGCCAAGCGAAAGCGAUAAGUCAUCCACCUGGGGAGUACGACCGCAAGGUUGAAACUCAAAUGAAUUGGCGGG
rnacentral:rRNA from 1 species